AAUUUGGUCUUAAUGUGUGUCUCAAAGACAUUGUAAAUUAUUUGUUAUGAUACUUCAUUGGAUAUUUAUAGUAAUAAUUGAGGUCAAGAUCGUCCCGAAUUACGCUACUGUUCAGAAACGAUAAACAAAAGAUGAUUAGAGGCAUAGACCGGGGAUAUAUUUAAAAAGGAUAUUUCAUUACAUAUGUUAUUCAAUAUAUCAGUCAUAAAUUAUUUUUUAAAUGAAGACAUACAUAAUAAACUAGCUUAUUUAAUAGAGCUAAUUAAGAAAAUGACUGGUCGUUAUAAAUUUUGGACCAGUAUUUCGAUAGUUAUUAACAUUUUUUAC